rnacentral:rRNA from 1 species
CAGUCGCCACGGGAAUACGUAGGGUCCAAGCGUUAAUCGGAAUUACUGGGCGUAAAGCGUGCGCAGGCGGUUGUGCAAGACCGAUGUGAAAUCCCCGAGCUUAACUUGGGAAUUGCAUUGGUGACUGCACGGCUAGAGUGUGUCAGAGGGGGGUAGAAUUCCACGUGUAGCAGUGAAAUGCGUAGAGAUGUGGAGGAAUACCGAUGGCGAAGGCAGCCCCCUGGGAUAACACUGACGCUCAUGCACGAAAGCUAGGGGAGCGAACAGGAUUAGAUACCCCGGUAGUCCCUGUCUCUUAUAC